UCCCUGGUUGUCCAUUGGCCAAGACUCUGCACUCCCAGCGCAGAGGGCCUGGGUUCAAUCCCUGGUCAGGGAA
rnacentral:tRNA from 1 species